GUUUAGGUAGCUUAUAUAGAGCAUUGCACUGAAGAUGCAAGGGAGGUUGAAUUACCCUUGAAUA
rnacentral:tRNA from 1 species